rnacentral:rRNA from 1 species
GUAACACGUGGAUAACCUGCCUGUAAGACUGGGAUAACUCCGGGAAACCGGGGCUAAUACCGGAUAUGAUUUUAGUUCGCAUGAACUGAAAUGGAAAGGUGGCUUUUAGCUACCACUUACAGAUGGAUCCGCGGCGCAUUAGCUAGUUGGUGAGGUAACGGCUCACCAAGGCGACGAUGCGUAGCCGACCUGAGAGGGUGAUCGGCCACACUGGGACUGAGACACGGCCCAGACUCCUACGGGAGGCAGCAGUAGGGAAUCUUCCGCAAUGGACGAAAGUCUGACGGAGCAACGCCGCGUGAGUGAUGAAGGUUUUCGGAUCGUAAAGCUCUGUUGUUAGGGAAGAACAAGUACCGUUCGAAUAGGGCGGUACCUUGACGGUACCUAACCAGAAAGCCACGGCUAACUACGUGCCAGCAGCCGCGGUAAUACGUAGGUGGCAAGCGUUGUCCGGAAUUAUUGGGCGUAAAGCGCGCGCAGGCGGUUUCUUAAGUCUGAUGUGAAAGCCCACGGCUCAACCGUGGAGGGUCAUUGGAAACUGGGAGACUUGAGUGCAGAAGAGGAGAGUGGAAUUCCACGUGUAGCGGUGAAAUGCGUAGAUAUGUGGAGGAACACCAGUGGCGAAGGCGACUCUCUGGUCUGUAACUGACGCUGAGGCGCGAAAGCGUGGGGAGCGAACAGGAUU